GUUUUGUACCAAAAGGAUAUUUUUUUUAGGUUCCGGAGCAUUUUUUUACGAAACCAAAGCCUGGCCAUCCGGAAACGGAACCCAUAGCGUCAUGCUUUGCCGAAUUCUUCCAACAGGCCCAAAUUUGGAUAUGGACUUCUUUUGUAUCCUUGCGAGUCAUGUUCCUCGAUCCAUGAACUUUUCUCAGCCCCAGAUUUAAUAUAGGAACCCUCAAUGUAACGAAUGAACUCCGUGUCUCAAUUCUCUUGUCCAAAAUUCGAAGACGUGCAUCAAACUUUUCUAUGGCCAUCAAAUUUUGCUAUGGACACCCACAAACUUCUCAGAAACCCAAUGCUUUCCAGAGGCCCAGCUGCUACAUUUUUAUUUUACCAUUCUUUUAUUUUUCUUUUCUCACUAUUGCUCGGCUUUACUCUUCACUGCCUUCGGUCCACCCUAUUCGAAACACAGUAGGACACAAACUUCUGCAAAUUGGAUUUCGAGAUGGACUUGAGGGUGGAAGCCAACUUGGAGAUGGAAUUGCAACUGGGUCUUCGUCACAAAAGAAUUCCCCCAACAUCUAAAGCUUGCAAUCAGCUUCAUCCUCCUAUUCCGUGAAGGGAAAUUGGUGAUCUUGAUGAGAGAAUUGGCCUAGGCUCGUGGUGAUUUGUAUCGGGUACAAAACAAGUACAGGAGCUGUGGUGUCAAAAAUUCUAGAGUUCCAGACUUCUGACUUCGACUGUGUAAGGCGAGGAUAGCAGCUGCAGUUCGGCCAAGUAUCGGAAUUCCAGGAUUCAAACUCAAGGUUUGGUGUUUUAAACAGCCAAAACUUGAGGAUAAAAUCGGCACCCUAAGGCACGCCGUGUCAAAGUUCUAAAACAGUAUUGGCACCGUAAGGCACCGCCACCGGAGCUUUGAAAGCAGUUUCGGCACCCUAAGGCACGCCGAAUGGAGCUCUGAAACAGUAUUGGCACCGAAAGGUACCGCCACCGGAGCUUUGAAAGUGGUAAAACCAUAAAGAGAUGGAUUCUCCACCUUUUUCCUAUGGAACACGCUGCAGCGUCCUCUGUCUCCUUUGCUUUCCUUCUCCGUCUGCCUCCUUUUUCUUUUUUUUCUUGUACGGCCUUCUUGGCCUCUUAUAUAGUGUACUGAUGGUAUGGUUGAGUUUUAGAGAGACUCUUGUACUUGACAUGACAUGAAACACCAAGAGAUAACUAUGAUCCCUAUCAGGGAAUUACCGUGCAUCAGUUGCAAUCAAACUCUAAUACUUAAUAAGCUCAUGUGUAAUUAUGGGCAAUUGACCUUCACGCAUUUUCUGUCCUUUUUUAUUAUCUAUCUUUUUUUGUUUCAACAGCAAGUAACCUUCAAAGGCCACAUGGGUUGGCCUACGGUAACUAACUAUUGCUCCAUACCAAUCACCGCUGCAACUCAGAACUCCGCCUAUGUGAGAAGAAGCAAUCACCUGCGACCCUGCAUAACUGCAUUGAAACCAAGUGCUGCAUCCUAGAUUUUCAUCAACUAGAUCUCUCCAAUGCGUCUCCAGCUUUGUAAUCGUCACCACCAACCGACUUUAAUUCCUCACUUGAAUCAUCAACAUAUGUGACGGUCAAAGUUUGGAUAAAAUCCGGAACCUUGACUUCACUCAAAGCCUGUAUACCUCCUCGAGCACACUACCAGUACUCAUAAGUUGGUUAGGAUUCAAAGGCCCUUGUCUACUUCUUGCUCGAGUACGAGCUUGUCAUCCACGCGGGUCAUUUUUUGUACCACUUACUUCCAAUUUUUGAGUUAAGCCUCUGUUUGAACAGUUCUCCAUCAUGUUCAUUGAUGAUAUAUAUAAAAUUAGCUGCUCUACUUUUUCAUCUUGCAUCAAAGCCCCACAAAACAACAAGUUGCCAGGUCACCCAGCUUUAACUUUCAUGUUCCAGAAUAUAGGAAACUGCUGCUAUACAUGGGAGUAUACUCGUCUUUGCCUCUGAUAACAAUUGAAUUUCAUGCUUCCCUGAAGAUGAGUCCCUCAUUGAUCCAUCCAUUCACUUCUGUAUUCAGAGGUCUUUAUGAAAUAAAGAAUCUGAGGCCCUGUAGUAUUGAAAGCAAAACAACAAAACCAUGGAAAGGAAGUCUUGAUAUUUACACGGCCAUGAAUGUUUGGCUCGAAUAAGCUCAACUAAUUCCAGCUCUUCUUUCUCGCAAUAGCUCUUCUUGGAGUCCCGGAAAUUCUGUGCUCUUACUCCCAAGCUUGUUUGUCCUGAGGACUGAUAAUUCUGCCCCCCAAGUCUGCAAAGCACGUCAUCUUCAUAGAAUGUUUCUCUCGGGCAUUUUAUCAAACACCUCGUGGGCAUAUCUCAGAUUCUCAGACCUGUGAUGAAAUUUCAACCAAGCAGCCCAUAGAAGAUCAAUAUAUCAACAAAGAGUUCAAAUUAAUCACUAUUGCCUGGGGAUUGGGUUCAAUUCUUCGAGGCAGCAGUGGGAGAUAACACUGGGUUGAAUAUGGAGGCUCCUACAGUUCGACUUUGUCUCCUCCUCGCCGACGGAGGAACUCUUCCGGAAUUCGCUUGAAAGCCUUCCGCUUGGUUCUACCUCAGCGUCUGCCACAGUGAUUGGCAGAAGGUUGUCCGCUGAAGACCACUCGCUGGCCUUUAGAUCGACUUCGCUUCGGAGUGAAUCUUGUUGGAAAAAUUCUGGCGCAGUGCUUCGCCGGAUCUUAUCUCGCUGACGAGAUUUAGGCCAAGUGCACUCAGCGAGCUCUGCCUCUUGUGAUAAUGUUCCUUGCGAGCGUUCAUUGACGUACUUAUGGCCUCGCGGACGUUCGCUGACUGUCACGCGGACGUUACUACUGUUGGCCUUCUUCACGAGCACUCGCUUCGCGGCCAUCUCCUUCGCGCCAAUUUGCUCGCGGCCCCGCGCUCUUCGCGGUCACUCGCUUACGCGGUCAAUCGCUCGCGGCCAGUCGCUGAUGCGCCG